GAACAACUUUAGCUUAAUGAGGUUGUUCAGGUGAGAACUAUAGCUCCCUGCAGCCUUUCUCAUGUAAACACUGUAUUUUCUGAGAAAAUACAGUGUUUACAUUGAAAGCUAGGAACACCUCCAGUUGCAGUCACUCAGAGUGAACCAGAGGGACUUCGGAGUUGAUGGAGGCAUAAUAUGCCUCCAUCCACUCAGAUCUGCUGUCAACAGAGCGCAG